CUGGCGGCGUGCCUAACACAUGCAAGUCGAACGAUGACGGAGGAGCUUGCUCUUCCUGAUUAGUGGCGCACGGGUGAGUAUACCAUACAUAAUGUACCCCUUAGUUUGGGAUAGCCACUGGAAACGGUGAUUAAUACCAGAUACUCCCUCUUGUCUUAAGGCAAGUCGGGAAAGUUUUUUCGCUAAGGGAUCAGUCUAUGUCCUAUCAGCUAGUUGGUGAGGUAAUGGCUCACCAAGGCUAUGACGGGUAUCUGGUUUGAGAGGAUGAUCAGACACACUGGAACUGAGACACGGUCCAGACUCCUACGGGAGGCCACCAGUGAGGAAUAUUGCACAAUGGAGGAAACUCUGAUUCACCAACCCCGCGUGGAGGAUGACGCAUUUUCGGUGUGUAUACUCCUUU
rnacentral:rRNA from 1 species